UGUGAAGCAGGCGCCAAGUCUCAGAGCUGGGUAUAUAGAUCCUUUUUGGAUCUCUUCAUCAUUUUUUAACGAACCCAAGCGCUGGAAACUUGAUGGUGAAGAACUAGCUGCUGGAAAAACCGUUGAGGAGAAAGAGGCGAUCUGGAAAGAAGCUAUUCGCAAAAAGGCCUAUAUGGUUGCGGCACGGAUUUCUAAAGUUCUUCUGAAUCUCCAGCAUAAUGAUAUGAUAUGAAUACCAUACCACUUUGGGAAUCACUAGAUUGUUGUAGGGGUCGAUGUUGGGUUGAGCAUAGCACAUGUCUAUGAUUUGGCACAUUAUGCUCCAGCGACAUACAAGGACUUCAUAUCGAUUCUCAAGACGGCAUUCAAGCACUAUGUCGAAUAUCAUAAAGGAAGGCAUUGCCCAAAAUUGAAGAGCGAAUUGGCGAUCAAGAUGCUCUGUGCGAGUCUCAAGCAGAGGCCUGGAAGUAACCAUUGUGGAUAUUACAUAUGUUGCAUGAUGAGUAACACUAGUGCCUACACGAGACACCCC